rnacentral:rRNA from 1 species
AUUGAACGCUGGCGGCAUGCUUUACACAUGCAAGUCGAACGGCAGCGCGGGCUUCGGCCUGGCGGCGAGUGGCGAACGGGUGAGUAAUACAUCGGAACGUGCCCAGUAGUGGGGGAUAGCUCGGCGAAAGCCGGAUUAAUACCGCAUACGACCUGAGGGUGAAAGCGGGGGAUCUUCGGACCUCGCGCUAUUGGAGCGGCCGAUGGCAGAUUAGCUAGUUGGUGGGGUAAAGGCCUACCAAGGCGACGAUCUGUAGCUGGUCUGAGAGGACGACCAGCCACACUGGAACUGAGACACGGCCCAGACUCCUACGGGAGGCAGCAGUGGGGAAUUUUGGACAAUGGGCGAAAGCCUGAUCCAGCAAUGCCGCGUGUGUGAUGAAGGCCUUCGGGUUGUAAAGCACUUUUAGCGGGAACGAAAAGGACUGUGCCAAUACCACGGUUCGAUGACGGUACCCGCAGAAUAAGCACCGGCUAACUACGUG